CUCGUGAAUUCAUCUCCGGGGGUAGAGCACUGUUUCGGCUAGGGGGCCAUCCCGGCUUACCAACCCGAUGCAAACUGCGAAUACCGGAGAAUGUUAUCACGGGAGACACACGGCGGGUGCUAACGUCCGUCGUGAAGAGGGAAACAACCCAGACCGCCAGCUAAGGUCCCAAAGUCAUGGUUAAGUGGGAAACGAUGUGGGAAGGCCCAGACAGCCAGGAUGUUGGCUUAGAAGCAGCCAUCAUUUAAAGAAAGCGUAAUAGCUCACUGGUCGAGUCGGCCUGCGCGGAAGAUGUAACGGGGCUAAACCAUGCACCGAAGCUGCGGCAGCGACACUGUGUGUUGUUGGGUAGGGGAGCGUUCUGUAAGCCUGUGAAGGUGUGUCGUGAGGCAUGCUGGAGGUAUCAGAAGUGCGAAUGCUGACAUAAGUAACGAUAAAGCGGGUGAAAAGCCCGCUCGCCGGAAGACCAAGGGUUCCUGUCCAACGUUAAUCGGGGCAGGGUGAGUCGACCCCUAAGGCGAGGCCGAAAGGCGUAGUCGAUGGGAAACGGGUUAAUAUUCCCGUACUUGGUGUUACUGCGAAGGGGGGACGGAGAAGGCUAUGUUGGCCGGG
rnacentral:rRNA from 1 species